UACGGAGGGUGCGAGCGUUAAUCGGAAUUACUGGGCGUAAAGCGCGCGUAGGUGGUUUGGUAAGUCGGAUGUGAAAGCCCCGGGCUUAACCUGGGAACUGCAUUCGAUACUGCCUUACUGGAGUGUGGUAGAGGGUAGUGGAAUUCCAGAUGUAGCGGUGAAAUGCGUAGAUAUCUGGAGGAACAUCAGUGGCGAAGGCGGCUACCUGGACCAACACUGACACUGAGGCGCGAAAGCGUGGGGAGCAAACAGG
rnacentral:rRNA from 1 species